rnacentral:rRNA from 1 species
UACGUAGGUGGCGAGCGUUAUCCGGAAUUAUUGGGCGUAAAGAAUGCGUAGGUGGACUUUUAAGUCAGAUGUGAAAUCCCCGGGCUUAACCCGGGAGCUGCAUUUGAAACUGGAAGCCUGGAGUGCAGGAGAGGUAAGUGGAAUUCCAAGUGUAGCGGUGAAAUGCGUAGAGAUUAGGAAGAACACCAGUGGCGAAGGCGACUUACUGGACUGUAACUGACGCUGAGGCAUGAAAGCGUGGGGAGCAAACAGG